rnacentral:rRNA from 1 species
CGAUGGUAGGAUAGAGGCCUACCAUGGUGGUAACGGGUAACGGGGUGUUAGGGCACGACACCGGAGAGGGAGCCUGAGAAACGGCUACCACAUCCAAGGAUGGCAGCAGGCGCGCAAAUUACCCAAUCCCGACACGGGGAGGUAGUGACAAUAAAUAACAAUACGGGGUUCUUAUGGAUUUCGUAAUUGGAAUGAGUACAAUUUAAAUCUCUUAACGAGGAACAAUUGGAGGGCAAGUCUGGUGCCAGCAGCCGCGGUAAUUCCAGCUCCAAUAGCGUAUAUUAAAGUUGUUGCAGUUAAAAAGCUCGUAGUUGAAUUUCGGGAUCAAUAUGUUGGUCGUGCCUCGGUACGUACUAGCAUAUUGGUUUCUCCUUUCUGAAGAACCAUGAUGUCAUUUAUUUGGUGUCGUGGGGAAUCAGGACUGUUACUUUGAAAAAAUUAGAGUGUUUAAAGCAGGCUCACGCUUGAAUACAUUAGCAUGGAAUAAUGAAAUAGGACGUUUGAUUCUAUUUUGUUGGUUUCUAGGAUCGACGUAAUGAUUAAUAGGGAUAGUUGGGGGCAUUAGUAUUCAAUUGUCAGAGGUGAAAUUCUUGGAUUUAUUGAAGACUAACUACUGCGAAGGCAUUUGCCAAGGAUGUUUUCAUUAAUCAAGAACGAAAGUUAGGGGAUCGAAGACGAUCAGAUANCCGUCGUAGUCUUAACCAUAAACUAUGCCGACUAGGGAUCGGAUGAUGUUAAUUUUUUAAUGACUCA